AUUGAACGCUGGCGGCAUGCCUUACACAUGCAAGUCGAACGGUAACAGGUCUUCGGAUGCUGACGAGUGGCGAACGGGUGAGUAAUACAUCGGAACGUGCCCGAUCGUGGGGGAUAACGAAGCGAAAGCUUUGCUAAUACCGCAUACGAUCUACGGAUGAAAGCAGGGGACCGCAAGGCCUUGCGCGAACGGAGCGGCCGAUGGCAGAUUAGGUAGUUGGUGGGAUAAAAGCUUACCAAGCCGACGAUCUGUAGCUGGUCUGAGAGGACGACCAGCCACACUGGGACUGAGACACGGCCCAGACUCCUACGGGAGGCAGCAGUGGGGAAUUUUGGACAAUGGGCGAAAGCCUGAUCCAGCCAUGCCGCGUGCAGGAUGAAGGCCUUCGGGUUGUAAACUGCUUUUGUACAGAACAAAAAGACCCUGGUUAAUACCUGGGGUCCAUGACGGUACCGUAAGAAUAAGCACCGGCUAACUACGUGCCAGCAGCCGCGGUAAUAC
rnacentral:rRNA from 1 species